rnacentral:rRNA from 1 species
UACAGAGGUCUCAACCGUUGUUCGGAUUCAUUGGGCGUAAAGGGUGCGUAGGCGGUCGCGUAAGUCAGAUGUGAAAGGCCUGGGCUCAACCCGGGAAUUGCAUUUGAUACUGCAUUGCUAGAGUCCAAGAGAGGGUAGUGGAAUUCCCAGUGUAGAGGUGAAAUUCGUAGAUAUUGGGAAGAACACCAGUGGCGAAGGCGGCUACCUGGCUUGGUACUGACGCUCAGGUGCGAAAGCGUGGGGAGCGAACAGG